rnacentral:rRNA from 1 species
GUGCCUAACACAUGCAAGUCGAACGGUAACAGGUCUUCGGAUGCUGACGAGUGGCGCACGGGUGAGUAACGCGUGGAUAUCUGCCUAUUAGUGGGGGACAACUUUCGGAAACGGAAGCUAAUACCGCAUAAUCUCUACGGAGGAAAGCAGGGGACCUUUCGGGGCCUUGUGCUGAUAGAUGAGUCCGCGUCUGAUUAGCUAGUUGGUAGGGUAAAGGCCUACCAAGGCGAUGAUCAGUAUCUGGUUUGAGAGGAUGAUCAGACACACUGGAACUGAGACACGGUCCAGACUUCUACGGAAGGCAGCAGUGGGGAAUAUUGCACAAUGGGGGAAACCCUGAUGCAGCGACGCCGCGUGUGGGAAGAAGGCUUUAGGGUUGUAAACCACUUUCAAUUGGGAAGAAGAGAUGAGUACUAAUAUUAUUCUGAUUUGACGGUACCUUUAGAAGAAGCACCGGCUAAUUUCGUGCCAGCAGCCGCGGUAAUACGAAAGGUGCAAGCGUUGUUCGGAUUUACUGGGCGUAAAGCGAGUGUAGGUUGUUUAUUAAGUCGGAUGUGAAAUCCCAGGGCUCAACCCUGGAACUGCAUUCGAUACUGAUAGGCUAGAGUUCGGGAGGGGUAAGCGGAAUUCCGUGUGUAGCAGUGAAAUGCGUAGAUAUACGGAGGAACACCUGAGGCGAAGGCGGCUUACUGGACCGAUACUGACACUGAGACUCGAAAGCGUGGGUAGCAAACAGGAUUAGAUACCCUGGUAGUCCACGCCCUAAACGAUGUCAACUAGCCGUUGCGGGUAUCGACCCCUGCAGUGGCGAAGCUAACGCGAUAAGUUGACCGCCUGGGGAGUAC